UUCGCCCUUUUCCGGUUGAUCCCGCCGGACCUGACUGCUAUCGGAUUGAUACUAAGCCAUGCGAGUCAUUGUAGCAAUACAAGGCAUACGGCUCAGUAACGCGUAGUCAACCUAACCUAUGGACGGGAAUAACCUCGGGAAACUGAGAAUAAUGCCCGAUAGAACACUAUACCUGGAAUGGUUUGUGUUCCAAAUGAUUUAUCGCCGUAGGAUGGGACUGCGGCCUAUCAGUUUGUUGGUGAGGUAAUGGCCCACCAAGACUAUUACAGGUACGGGCUCUGAGAGGAGUAGCCCGGAGAUGGGUACUGAGACACGGACCCAGGCCCUAUGGGGCGCAGCAGGCGAGAAAACUUUGCAAUGUGCGAAAGCACGACAAGGUUAAUCCGAGUGAUUUGUGCUAAACGAAUCUUUUGUUAGUUCUAGAAAUACUAACGAAUAAGGGGUGGGCAAGUUCUGGUGUCAGCCGCCGCGGUAAAACCAGCACCUCAAGUGGUCAGGAUGAUUAUUGGGCCUAAAGCAUCCGUAGCCGGAUCUGUAAGUUU
rnacentral:rRNA from 1 species